rnacentral:rRNA from 1 species
UACGGGGGGAGCAAGCGUUAUCCGGAUUCACUGGGUUUAAAGGGUGCGUAGGUGGGUCUGUAAGUCCGUGGUGAAAUCUCCGAGCUUAACUUGGAAACUGCCAUGGAUACUAAAGGUCUUGAAUACUGUGGAGGUCAGCGGAAUAUGUCAUGUAGCGGUGAAAUGCUUAGAUAUGACAUAGAACACCAAUUGCGAAGGCAGCUGGCUACACAAAUAUUGACACUGAGGCACGAAAGCGUGGGGAUCAAACAGG